rfam:Triticum urartu cultivar G1812 contig1453229, whole genome shotgun sequence.
GGGGAUGUAGCUUAAAUGGUAGAGCAUUUAAUCAGCUAUUAAAAGGUAGGGGGAUCGAUACCUCCCAUCUCCA